CAUGAGGCUACCUAAAACGAUGAAUGAGAUACAUGAUUGAGUGACGAAGUUCAUGCACAUUGAUGACAUGCACACAUUUCAUAAAAAUGAGCAGGAGGAGACUGCAAUGGUAGAAGGAGAGAAGAAUGAGGGUAAGAAGACCGUAGGCAAUGGGGACUAAGGGAACAACUCCCAACCGAAUGACCUUCCUCGGGGGUCGAAUUUCCAUCAGAAUAAGCCUUUGAACACACCAAUGGUGAAAAUCUUAGAGGAGGCGCUCAGUGCAAACUUCCUCCCACCCCUGAAGAAGCCGAUGCCGAGGAAUGCCAACGGUAAGAAACACUGUUGGU
rnacentral:lncRNA from 1 species